UGAGAACUGAAUUCCAUAGGCGUUAAAGCAUCCAAAAAUGCCCUAUGGAUUCAGUUCUGCA
rnacentral:pre_miRNA from 1 species